rnacentral:rRNA from 1 species
UACGGAGGGGACUAGCGUUGUUCGGAAUUACUGGGCGUAAAGCGCACGUAGGCGGAUUUGUAAGUCAGGGGUGAAAUCCCGGGGCUCAACCUCGGAACUGCCUUUGAUACUGCAAAUCUCGAGUCCGGAAGAGGUGAGUGGAAUUCCUAGUGUAGAGGUGAAAUUCGUAGAUAUUAGGAGGAACACCAGUGGCGAAGGCGGCUAUCUGGACGGUUUCUGACACUAAGACUCGAAAGCGUGGGGAGCAAACAGG